CAUGUCUUUUUGAUUAUAAUAUAAAGUCUAAUCUGCCCACUGAAAAUUUUGAAGGGCCGCAGUAAUUUGACUGUGCAAAGGUAGCAUAAUCAUUUGUCUUUUAAAUGAAGGCUAGAAUGAAUGAUUGAACGAGGUAUAAACUGUCUCAUUAUUAAAAUAAUAAAAAUUUAACUUUUUAGUUAAAAGGCUAAAAUAGUUUUGGAGGACGAGAAGACCCUAUAGAUCUUUAUAUUAUUUAGUAUAUUUAAUUUUAGUAAAAUGGAUUUAAAUUUAUUUAAUAUAAUAUUUUGUUGGGGUGACAAGAAAAUAAAAUAAACUUUUCUUUUAUAAAACAUAGAUUAAUGAAUUUAUGAUCCAUUAUUAUUGAUUAUAAGAAUAAGUUACCUUAGGGAUAACAGCGUAAUUUUGUUGGAGAGUUCAUAUUAAUAAUAAAGUUUGCGACCUC
rnacentral:rRNA from 1 species